AGCCAUGUGGUGAGCACAAAGCGAACUAUUCUUUCGCCUUUUACUAAAGAAUACCGUGUGCUCUCCACGCUAAGUGGCAUACGCCUAUUUUUGGAGGGUUCCACUUUCGAGUGGGCCC
rfam:Brassica napus, WGS project CCCW01000000 data, contig: 8586